CAGCCUUAAAGAUUUCAGUCCGAUCCGACCCUUUAAAAUCCACACAGGGGUCUAUUACUCAGUGAUGAUAGAGUGAACACGCUCCACUGUCCCCUCCCAUCUCAAACCCUAAAUUAAGAAAGAAAUCCCCAAAUUUCUCCGCCAUGGCCAAGAAGCGCAAGCUGCGACCCUCUGACCCCGAGCCCACCAAAGUCCCCGAAGCCGAGCCACAAGAAGAACAGUCACAGGAGGCAACUGUCCCUGUAGAAGAGGAACAACUCCAAUCCGAGCCAGAGCAAAUCCAGGGAGGAGACGCGCCCCAGGAGCAACAAGAGGACAUGGCUGUGGAAGAUUCCAAAGAAGAGGAACACGAGGAGCCCCGGGAAGAGGAACAAAAAGAAGUAGGAGGAAAAGAAUUGGGAGGAGAGCAAGAAGAGCACGAAAACCUGGAUGCCUUAAAAGAAGCCCAACCCGUAACAGCAAAUGGAACCGAGGUAAAAGACGAAGAGGAGGAGGACGACGAAGACGAUGACGAGGAACCUGUGGAGAACCUUCUCGAAACCUUCUCGAAGGAUCAACUUCUAACCCUCAUUAAAAAGGCAGUGGACAAGCACCCGGACUUGAUCGAGGGCGUGCGCGAGCUGGCUGACGCCGAUCCGGCCCACCGCAAGAUCUUCGUCCACGGCCUCGGCUGGGACACCACGGCUGAAAACCUAAUCUCUGUCUUUGGCAGUUACGGUGAGAUCGAGGAUUGCAAGGCCGUCACAGACCGCGUCUCCGGCAAAUCCAAGGGCUACGCAUUUAUCCUUUUUAAGCACCGCAGCGGAGCCCGCAAGGCCCUCCGGCAGCCUCAGAAGCAGAUUGGUAAUCGCACCACCUCCUGCCAGCUUGCCUCCUCAGGACCCGUCCCAACCCCACCGCCUGUAACCCCUCCGGUCUCGGAGUACACCCAGCGUAAGAUUUUUGUGAGCAAUGUAUCGGCCGAGGUCGAUACUAAUAAGCUGCUCGACUUCUUUAAGCAGUAUGGGGAGAUUGAGGACGGCCCAUUGGGGCUUGAUAAGCAGACUGGGAAGCCUAAGGGUUUCGCUCUUUUCGUGUACAAGACCACAGAUAGUGCGAAGAAGGCUUUGGAAGAGCCCCAUAAGAACUUUGAGGGGCAUACAUUGCAUUGCCAGAAGGCUAUAGAUGGUCCUAAACAAAAACAUUAUCACCAACAACCACCCUUUCCUCAUCAUCAGCACUCGCAUUACCAUUCUAGAAAGGAGAAGAAUAAGUAUUCCUCGGCCGGUGCGAGUGGGCCUGGCCAUGGGCAUUUGAUGGCACCGUCAGGCCCCGCGAUAGGGUUCAAUCCAACACAGGGACUGAACCCGGUUCUGGGUCAGGCCUUGUCUACAUUGCUUGCUACCCAGGGAGCUGGUUUGGGGCUCGGUAAUCUGCUUGGUGGUCUUGGUGGCGCCCCUGUGAACCAGGCGGGGCCACCAGCAGGAUAUGGGAAUCAGGCUGGAGGGGGCUAUGGGAACCAGCCACUGAUGCAGGGUGGAUAUCAGAAUCCACAAAUGGGGCAGAGCAGUGCUGUUAGGCCUCACCCGGGCAGCGGUCCACCAUACAUGGGUCAUUAGGGAAGGAUGAGGAUAUGUGGAGAGGGGAUAUAUGAGAGGUGUUUAUUUGAUUCAACCUAGAAACUUGUACAAACCUGAUCCCCUCAUAGAUGCAUCAAAUAUUUUGUUUUGGACUCUGGUGAUUCUUCUGAAGUUCCUGGCACUCUUGCAAACGACAUCUUUAAAUUUGUGCUGGAAAGAUAUUAUUUGCCUACUAAAAGACCAGAAUCUUAAACUUGUAUUUUCUUUCUAUUUUAGUACUUUUCUCCCCUUCACAUAUUUUCAAAACAAUGUAAUAUUAUUUGUUCCAAUAUCUUGCUUCCUAAAAUGUGUUGGGGUACUGUUAUAACUCUUGAGGCAGAGAACAUCGUGUCUUCAUGAUUUUAAGUUUGUUACUAAACACUUUUUUCCC